UGAAAGUUUUUGACUUUAUUAUAUGUUUGCUUACAGUCGGAGAAAUGUAGAUUUCGGGUUUUUUUAGAGAUAUCAUCAUUUCUAUAAUUCUCUCAAUUGCCAUUUGAAAUAUCAUGCGAAAUGAGAGAAUACAGAAAAACGAUGAUGUCUCUUAAAAUCCCGAA